rnacentral:rRNA from 1 species
GACGAACGCUGGCGGCGUGCUUAACACAUGCAAGUCGAACGAUGAAGGAGAGCUUGCUCUCCGGAUUAGUGGCGAACGGGUGAGUAACACGUGACUAACCUGCCCCUUUCUCUGGGAUAACGCUCCGAAAGGAGUGCUAAUACCGGAUACGAACUCUGAACACAUGUUCGGAGUUGGAAAGUUUUCGGAAAGGGAUGGAGUCGCGGCCUAUCAGCUUGUUGGUGAGGUAACGGCUCACCAAGGCGACGACGGGUAGCCGGCCUGAGAGGGCGACCGGCCAAACUGGGACUGAGACACGGCCCAGACUCCUCCGGGAGGCAGCAGUGGGGAAUAUUGCACAAUGGGCGAAAGCCGGAUGCAGCGACGCCGCGUGAGGGAUGAAGGUCUUCGGAUUGUAAACCUCCUUCAGUAGGGACGAAGCGAAAGUGACGGUACCUAAAGAAGAAGCACCGGCUAACUACGUGCCAGCAGCCGCCGUAA